UACGGAGGGGACUAGCGUUGUUCGGAAUUACUGGGCGUAAAGCGCACGUAGGCGGAUUUGUAAGUCAGGGGUGAAAUCCCGGGGCUCAACCUCGGAACUGCCUUUGAUACUGCAAAUCUCGAGUCCGUAAGAGGUGAGUGGAAUUCCUAGUGUAGAGGUGAAAUUCGUAGAUAUUAGGAAGAACACCAGUGGCGAAGGCGGCUCACUGGUCCGGUACUGACGCUGAGGUGCGAAAGCGUGGGGAGCAAACAGG
rnacentral:rRNA from 1 species